CCUACGGGUGGCAGCAGUGAGGAAUAUUGGUCAAUGGGCUUACGCCUGAACCAGCCAAGUCGCGUGAGGGAAGACUGCCCUAUGGGUUGUAAACCUCUUUUGUCAGGGAGUAACGCCGGCUACGUGUACCCUGUCUUAUAGUCCUUGUAGAUAAAGCAUGGGCUAACACCGUGCCAGCAGCCGCGGUAAUCCGUAGGUGCCAAGUGUUAUCCGGAAUUUUGGGGCGUAAGGGGGAAGCAUGCGGCAGCAAAGGUCUGUGGUGAAAGACUGAAGCUUAACUUCAGUAAGCCAUAGAAACCGGGCAGCUAGAGUGCAGGAGAGGAUGGUGGAAUUCCAUGUGUAGCGGUGAAAUGCGUAGAUAUAUGGAGGAACACCAGUGGCGAAGGCGACGAUCUGGCCUGCAACUGACGCUCAGUCCCGAAAGCGUGGGGAGCAAAUAGGAUUAGAUACCCCAGUAGUC
rnacentral:rRNA from 1 species